GCAGUGGUGGUUUCAGUGCUAGAAUUCUCUCCUUGCAUGUGAAAAACCUGGGUUCGAUUCCCAGUCAGUGCA
rnacentral:tRNA from 1 species